rnacentral:rRNA from 1 species
UACGAAGGGAACUAGCGUUGUUCGGAAUCACUGGGCGUAAAGCGGGCGCAGGCGGACUAUCAAGUCAGAGGUGAAAUCCCAAGGCUUAACCUUGGAAUUGCCUUUGAAACUGAUAGUCUGGAGUGUGUGAGGGGGUAGCGGAAUUCCGAAUGUAGAGGUGAAAUUCGUAGAUAUUCGGAGGAACACCGGUGGCGAAGGCGGCUACCUGGCACACAACUGACGCUGAGGCCCGAAAGCGUGGGGAUCAAACAGG